CCAUUUCGGUACAACCAAUGCCCAACAUUCAACCUGAGAAAAAUCUCUUCCUCUCCCAAGGUUUUCUCAUUGAUGAUGAUACCACCCCUUUUCCAAUUACCAUUUCCAGAUCUUUCUUUCCGUCCUUUCGCUGCCUAAUGGCUCUCAUUUUCCUUUUGUCAGACACGAUUUCCAAUUCUCUCUUCUCCUCCCAUCGCUGUCUGGUGUCUCGCAUCCUCCUCCAACACCAUUACCUCCUUUCUUGGUAGUCGAUAAUCCAGCAUAAAAUUAUUGAUCCUCAUUUGCUGUUUGGACCCGUCUGAUAAUACUGAGCGCAUCCUCUUCAAUUGCUACUCUUCAGAGCCCCAUUUCUACCCCUAGCUGUACUACCUGCAAGCAGGCUAUUGCAUCCGCCACAAAGGGUGUAGGUAUUCGAUCGUUGACCGUCAUUUUGACACCUAAAAUUUCUCCUUUCGCGUUUCUACAAAUUAUGCCCGUACCUGAUUUUUUCCUCUGUUUAUCACAUGCCCCAUCGGAAUUUAUUUUGGCCAUAAGUUGGUCCGGCAGUUUCUAGCGUUCAUCAUCACAUCUCUACCCAGACCGCCCAUAUGCUUCCAAAAAGGAGUUGUAUUUGCGAGGCUGUCGUUUUGGACAAUCUCGAAUAGCAUGUUCCAGAGUGUCUGUGCCAUCCCUACACCUGAGGCAUAAAGCCGAAUUACGGACUCUUCUGUAAUGUAGAUUAUCAAACGUAGGAAUAUAGUUAUUAUAGAUUCUCCGGUUCGUAAUUUUAAUUUUGCUAGGCAAAUCUGCCUGCCAUAGAUUGUUGUAAUACUCUUUGCUUUGUAUCUUUGCUAUUGUCUAUUUCUGGGUUUGUACUCCCCCUUAGUAGCCUCUUGUAUCCGCUUCUGACUCUGUACUCCCCCGUUGGUUCUCCACUCCAAACUCUACUAUCUUCUCGCGGAUGCUUUGCCAGAGGGAUGUUCAGUAUUGCAUCUCCCUCAACGUUAGUGAACAAUCUGGGACCCAAGCAUCCUGCCAAAUUGAAAUGCAAUUACCAUUACCAACUCCCCAAGUCAUCCCAUCCUGCAGCACCUUUUUCGUUACCCAUAUACUUCUCCAAGUAUACGAAGGGUAAUUUCCUAACUCUGCCCGCAUGAAGUCGGUGUUUGGAUAAUAUUUUGCCUUCAAGGUCUUUGCUAAUAAUGAAUAUGGGAAUUCCAUUAAUCAACAA